AGAGUUUGAUCAUGGCUCAGGACGAACGCUGGCGGCGUGCUUAACACAUGCAAGUCGAACGGAAAGGCCCUGCUUUUGUGGGGUGCUCGAGUGGCGAACGGGUGAGUAACACGUGAGUAACCUGCCCUUGACUUUGGGAUAACUUCAGGAAACUGGGGCUAAUACCGGAUAGGAGCUCCUGCUGCAUGGUGGGGGUUGGAAAGUUUCGGCGGUUGGGGAUGGACUCGCGGCUUAUCAGCCUGUUGGUGGGGUAGUGGCUUACCAAGGCUUUGACGGGUAGCCGGCCUGAGAGGGUGACCGGCCACAUUGGGACUGAGAUACGGCCCAGACUCCUACGGGAGGCAGCAGUGGGGAAUAUUGCACAAUGGGCGGAAGCCUGAUGCAGCAACGCCGCGUGCGGGAUGACGGCCUUCGGGUUGUAAACCGCUUUCGCCUGUGACGAAGCGUGAGUGACGGUAAUGGGUAAAGAAGCACCGGCUAACUACGUGCCAGCAGCCGCGGUGAUACGUAGGGUGCGAGCGUUGUCCGGAUUUAUUGGGCGUAAGGGCUCGUAGGUGGUUGAUCGCGUCGGAAGUGUAAUCUUGGGGCUUAACCCUGAGCGUGCUUUCGAUACGGGUUGACUUGAGGAAGGUAGGGGAGAAUGGAAUUCCUGGUGGAGCGGUGGAAUGCGCAGAUAUCAGGAGGAACACCAGUGGCGA
rnacentral:rRNA from 1 species